rnacentral:rRNA from 1 species
GACGUAGGGUGCAAGCGUUGUCCGGAUUUAUUGGGCGUAAAGAGCUCGUAGGCGGCUUGUUGCGUCGACUGUGAAAACCCGCGGCUUAACCGCGGGCUUGCAGUUGAUACGGGCAGGCUAGAGUUCGGUAGGGGAGAUCGGAAUUCCUGGUGUAGCGGUGAAAUGCUUAGAUAUCGUCAAGAACACCAAUAGUGAAGACAGCUUACUGGGCUUAAACUGACGCUGAGGCACGAAAGUGUGGGGAUCAAACAGG